UCGAGGAUAAGUGAUCCAUGAACUUGCAUCCCUAAGAUCGAGGAUAACCGAUCUAUGAACUUGCAUGUGUAUUGGUGUGCUUAAUUUUGUAUGAACUUGCAUGCCGAGGAAAACAUAACGGUGAGUGGUGAAGUAGACGCAUAAUCCUAGGCCAGCAACAAGAAAGCAAGAUGAAAGUCGAAGUUACUAUAUCUCAGCAAUGCUAUGCUAAGAGUUAUAUCUUGGGAGGGCAAGGGUGAGAGCGACGGAUAAAGCGAAGAUGAAGAUGAAGAGGCCUAUCAAAUUCAGAAUCAGCGCUUCUUGAUUUC